rnacentral:piRNA from 1 species
UCAUCAAAGGUGUUAGAUUUUAGGUAUUGA